AUUGAACGCUGGCGGCAGGCCUAACACAUGCAAGUCGAACGGUAACAGGAAGAAGCUUGCUUCUUUGCUGACGAGUGGCGGACGGGUGAGUAAUGUCUGGGAAACUGCCUGAUGGAGGGGGAUAACUACUGGAAACGGUAGCUAAUACCGCAUAACGUCGCAAGACCAAAGAGGGGGACCUUCGGGCCUCUUGCCAUCGGAUGUGCCCAGAUGGGAUUAGCUAGUAGGUGGGGUAACGGCUCACCUAGGCGACGAUCCCUAGCUGGUCUGAGAGGAUGACCAGCCACACUGGAACUGAGACACGGUCCAGACUCCUACGGGAGGCAGCAGUGGGGAAUAUUGCACAAUGGGCGCAAGCCUGAUGCAGCCAUGCCGCGUGUAUGAAGAAGGCCUUCGGGUUGUAAAGUACUUUCAGCGGGGAGGAAGGGAGUAAAGUUAAGACCUUUGCUCAUUGACGUGACCCGCAGAAGAAGCACCGGCGAACUCCGU
rnacentral:rRNA from 1 species